ACGGGUGAGUAAUGUCUGGGAAACUGCCUGAUGGAGGGGGAUAACUACUGGAAACGGUAGCUAAUACCGCAUAACGUCGCAAGACCAAAGAGGGGGACCUUCGGGCCUCUUGCCAUCAGAUGUGCCCAGAUGGGAUUAGCUAGUAGGUGGGGUAACGGCUCACCUAGGCGACGAUCCCUAGCUGGUCUGAGAGGAUGACCAGCCACACUGGAACUGAGACACGGUCCAGACUCCUACGGGAGGCAGCAGUGGGGAAUAUUGCACAAUGGGCGCAAGCCUGAUGCAGCCAUGCCGCGUGUAUGAAGAAGGCCUUCGGGUUGUAAAGUACUUUCAGCGGGGAGGAAGGUGUUGCGGUUAAUAACCGCAGCAAUUGACGUUACCCGCAGAAGAAGCACCGGCUAACUCCGUGCCAGCAGCCGCGGUAAUACGGAGGGUGCAAGCGUUAAUCGGAAUUACUGGGCGUAAAGCGCACGCAGGCGGUCUGUCAAGUCGGAUGUGAAAUCCCCGGGCUCAACCUGGGAACUGCAUUCGAAACUGGCAGGCCAGAGUCUUGUAGAGGGGGGUAGAAUUCCAGGUGUAGC
rnacentral:rRNA from 1 species